CUACGGGUGGCAGCAGUGGGGAAUAUUGGACAAUGGGCGCAAGCCUGAUCCAGCAAUGCCGCGUGUGUGAAGAAGGCCUUCGGGUUGUAAAGCACUUUUGUUAGGGAGGAAAGUCUGGUAGCUAAUAACUGCUAGAUCUGACGUUACCUAAAGAAUCAGCACCGGCUAACUCUGCGCCAGCAGCCGCGGUAAUACAGAGGGUGCAAGCGUUAAUCGGAAUUACUGGGCGUAAAGGGUCUGUAGGCGGAUUAUUAAGUCGGAUGUGAAAUCCCCGGGCUCAACCUGGGAACGGCAUUCGAUACUGGUAGUCUAGAGUGUGCAAGAGGAUGGGGGAAUUCCUGGUGUAGCAGUGAAAUGCGUAGAGAUCAGGAGGAACAUCAAUGGCGAAGGCACCUUUCUGGGGCAACACUGACGCUGAGAGACGAAAGCGUGGGGAGCAAACAGGAUUAGAUACCCCUGUAGUC
rnacentral:rRNA from 1 species